UACGUAGGGGGCAAGCGUUGUCCGGAUUUAUUGGGCGUAAAGAGCGUGUAGGCGGCUUUACAGGUCCGUUGUGAAAACUCGAGGCUCAACCUCGAGACGCCGGUGGAAACCGUAAAGCUAGAGUCCGGAAGAGGAGAGUGGAAUUCCUGGUGUAGCGGUGAAAUGCGCAGAUAUCAGGAGGAACACCCGUGGCGAAAGCGGCUCUCUGGGCAUUACCUGACGCUGAGGAGCGAAAGUGUGGGGAGCGAACAGG
rnacentral:rRNA from 1 species